AGGCGGUGAUGACGAAAAUUAUACCAUCAAACUAUGAGAGCUCAUGUCUCCUUGAUGUAAUCAUAAAUCAUUACUCUCUGAGCCU
rnacentral:snoRNA from 1 species